AUUUUAGAUUUGUAUUAGUCUUGUCGGAAAAAAUGGAGGUUCGUCAAAUUUUUUGAUGAUUUGAAGAGACCAAUUCAAGUGUACCACUUGAAAGACCAACCAACAAUAGCAAAACUGAAAAAAAGAGUGAAGGGGACAGCUACUGAGUCAGUUCAGAAACUCAAAACUGAAAAAAACAACACACAGAGUAGUUUGACCAAAAAACAAAAA